GACGAACGCUGGCGGCGUGCUUAACACAUGCAAGUCGAACGGAAAGGCCCUGCUUUUGUGGGGUGCUCGAGUGGCGAACGGGUGAGUAACACGUGAGUAACCUGCCCUUGACUUUGGGAUAACUUCAGGAAACUGGGGCUAAUACCGGAUAGGAGCUCCUGCUGCAUGGUGGGGGUUGGAAAGUUUCGGCGGUUGGGGAUGGACUCGCGGCCUAUCAGCUUGUUGGUGGGGUAGUGGCUUACCAAGGCUUUGACGGGUAGCCGGCCUGAGAGGGUGACCGGCAACAUGGGGACUAAGAGAGGCCCAAGACGCCAAGGGGAGGAAACGGGGGGAAAUUUUGACCAGUGGGGGGAAGCUUGUGGCAACAACGCCGCGUGCGGGAGAAGGGCUUUCGGGUUAAAAACAGCUUUCGCAUUAAACGAAGGGUGAGUGACGGUAAUGGAUAAAAAAGCACGGGCUAACUACGUG
rnacentral:rRNA from 1 species